UUCAUCUUCCCUGGACCACAAAGAAUCAUUACUGCAUCAAAUAUCUCAUGUGAAAACAAAUCAAAGACAAAAGGGAUAAGAACUUGCUUUUAUAGGCAUCGCUGGGCAAACCAGCAACCUGUUUUUCGCCAUCAAUUCCACAAAAUGGAUCUGGACCAUGCACCAUUGUUCAACCUUCGUGUCAAUGAUAUAUACAUAUAUAUAUGAGUGGUCCAGUAUGUAUCAUGCCUCAAUGCAACUCAAUGCCUCUUUACUAUUUAUUAUAUAUCUCUAGCUAGGAGUCCGAAAACAAAAGAAGAAGAAGAAGAAGAAGAAGAAGAAGAUGCUGCAAAUGGUGUCGAGUAAUCCUUUCAGUAGCAUAAAUUUUGUGAAAAAGCAUGCUUGACGUGUAUGUUGUCGUUUCGUACCUGAGUCCCCACUUGAGGUUUUUUCAAGUCUUUUUUAUCAAUUGGAUCUCAUUGAUUAGUUAAAGUUUACAAGGACCAUGCCGUGCGAUAUUUGCUAUGUGGCUGAAAAAGGAAAGGAGUUGGGAGAGACAAAAGGUUUGGAUGGAACCACGUAGUUGAAGGGACAGGAACCAGCCUGUGUCCACACACCAGUUCUUCCUUAAAUCUGAGGCACAGAGGCAACCACCAGUUCUCUACGUCCCUAUCUACUUGAAUAACGACUAGUAAAUAGGGUCUCCGUCCCCAUAGAAUAAUGUAUGGAUGGAGGAGGACUUUGAAAAUCCAAAUUCAAUUAUAUUAAUCUUUCCUUUUUCUUUUCCCUUCUCCUGGUAUAUAUACUCUUUUCAUCUGGAAAUUUACACUGAAACAUUUACGUGCGAUGUUUGGAUGAAGGAAGAGGGGGGAGAAAACGAGG
rnacentral:lncRNA from 1 species